AGUUAAACCCUUUUGUUAAUUUCACUUACGUUUCUUAAUCAUUUCGGAAUGAAAAUAAACCCCCCACUCUCUCCAAAAAAAAUUUGUUUUUUUAAAUUUUGAUUUUAGGUAUAUAAACACAAAAAUAUGUAAUAUGUAAAUGCCAUAAAACUUUAAGUUCAAAAUAUUGACAAAUCCCAAAAUAUUAAGUAUUGAAAAAAUCCCAAAAUAUUAAAUAUUUACAAAAUCCCAAAAUAUUAAAUAUUGAAAAAAUCCCAAAAUAUUAAAUAUUUACAAAAUCCCAAAAUAUUAAAUAUUGACAAAAUCCCGAAAUAUUAUCACGACGGAGCAUGACAAUUUGAUAUUACGGAUCUGUUACUAUGUAAAUUAUGUACAGCAGGGUCAGAUUUAAUGAAAUGCUGGAAGUAGGUACAUUUCUUAAUCACUUAUUUGUAUUUGUGCUUUAAAUGGAGUGUCUAGCUAGGCAUUAUAUUUGAGUCGAGAGUGAAGUAUUGUAGAGAUAAUUUUUUUUAAAUCAUUUGUAGAUUUUUGUUACAAUAUUCGUUGUCGUUAAUGAAUAUUUUGAAUAAAAACCGAUUCUUAAAAUCAACCUUCCCAAAGUUAACAAUCUAUUAAGAUUUUAAAAAUUUGGGGUCUUGCCAAACAAAUAUGCACCGUAAAAACGUCUCAUGGGUUUCAAAUGAAUUCAAAAACAUUUCUCUACAAUACUGGAUUCCCAGCUCAACUGCUAUUUCCAGCCAGUCACUCCCUUUAACUUGAAUUGGUUCAACCACCUCAUUAAAAUUCACCCGCUUCUCUUCAUUCAUUAAACCUUGUCCCUGGACAGUCAAGCACAACAUUAUCUAAAUGACAAAAAGGUUGUAUAUUGUAUUUAAAUAAAAUAGUUUAAUUUUAUUUUCAGA